UACGGAAGGCAGCAGUGGGGAAUAUUGCACAAUGGGCGAAAGCCUGAUGCAGCUAUGCCGCGUGUAUGAAGAAGGCCUUAGGGUUGUAAAGUACUUUCAUCGGGGAGGAAAAACAAAACUAAUAAUUUUAUUUCUUGACGUUACCCGAAAAAGAAGCACCGGCUAACUCCGUGCCAGCAGCCGCGGUAAUACGGAGGGUGCUAGCGUUAAUCAGAAUUACUGGGCGUAAAGAGCACGUAGGUGGUUUUUUUAAGUUCAGAUGUGAAAUCCCUGGGCUUAACCUAGGAACUGCAUUUUGAAACUGAAAUACUAGAGUAUCGUAGAGGGAGGUAGAAUUCUAGGUGUAGCGGUGAAAUGCGUAGAUAUCUGGAGGAAUACCUGUGGCGAAAGCGGCCUCCUAAACCGAAUACUGACACUGAGGGUGCGAAAGCGUGGGGAGGCAAACAGGGAUUAGAUACC
rnacentral:rRNA from 1 species